rnacentral:rRNA from 1 species
GGGUCAGUAGGUUGGUCGUGCCACCGGUACGUACUGGUCUCACUGAUUCCUCCUUCCUGAGGAACCGUAAUGCCAUUAAUUUGGUGUUGCGGGGAAACAGGACUGUUACUUUGAAAAAAUUAGAGUGUUUAAAGCAAGCUAACGCUUGAAUACAUUAGCAUAGAAUAAUGAAAUAGGACGAUCGAUCCUAUUUUGUUGGUUUCUAGGAUUGACGUA